rnacentral:rRNA from 1 species
CCAAUAGCGUAUAUUAAAGUUGUUGCAGUUAAAAAGCUCGUAGUUGAACUUCGGGAUCAAUGAAUUGGUCAUGCCGUUGGUAUGUACUGAUUUUAUUGGUUCUCACCUUCUAAAGAACCAUAAUGUCAUUCAUUUGAUGUUAUUGGGAAUUAGGACUGUUACUUUGAAAAAAUUAGAGUGUUUAAAGCAGGCUUACGCUUGAAUACAUUAGCAUGGAAUAAUGAAAUAGGACAUACGAUUCUAUUUUGUUGGUUUCUAGGAUCGAUGUAAUGAUUAAUAGGGAUAGUUGGGGGCAUUAGUAUUCAAUUGUCAGAGGUGAAAUUCUUGGAUUUAUUGAAGACUAACUACUGCGAAAGCAUUUGCCAAGGAUGUUUUCAUUAAUCAAGAACGAAAGUUAGGGGAUCGAAGACGAUCAGAUACCGUCGUAGUCUUAACCAUAAACUAUGCCGACUAGGGAUCGGAUGAUGUUGAUUUUUUAAUGACUCAUUCGGCACCUUACG